rnacentral:rRNA from 1 species
CCUACGGGAGGCAGCAGUGGGGAAUAUUGCACAAUGGGGGGAACCCUGAUGCAGCGACGCCGCGUGGGUGAAGAAGUAUCUCGGUAUGUAAAGCCCUAUCAGCAGGGAAGAAAAAUGACGGUACCUGACUAAGAAGCACCGGCUAAAUACGUGCCAGCAGCCGCGGUAAUACGGAUGGUGCAAGCGUUAUCCGGAUGUACUGGGUGUAAAGGGAGCGCAGGCGGCACGCUAAGCCUGAUGUGAACACCCGGGGCCCAACCGCGGGAGUGCAUGGGAAACUGGCGGGCUGGAGUACCGGAGGGGCAGGCGGAAUGCGCGGUGUAGCGGUGAAAUGCGUAGAUAUUGGGAAGAACACCAGUGGCGAAGGCAGCCUGCUGGACGGAGACUGACGCUGAGGCUCGAAAGCGUGGGGAGCAAACAGGAUUAGAUACCCCUGUAGUC